UGCAGCGCAUCACUCUUAAAGUUUCUCGAGUAUCCGUCGGCAUCCAGAGCCUCGGAUGAACAGGUGAACGGCGGAGGAAGCAAAAUAAGCUUUCUCUGUACUAUAGCAAUGGAGGCCAAUCUCUGUGCAUCCCUAGGCCUCCCAUCCCCAGAUCCCCGUAAUCAAUACCACCCACUAAUCGACACUAACUUCACCAAUCUCUUCACUCACUUCUUCUCUCCCUUAUCAACCCAAACUCCGCACAACCCCGUCAAAAAACACAACAAACCCAUCACCAAAUCCCUUCCAUUUGCUUCCAAUUCUCUCUCUUCUAACACCAAAAGCACGCCCAACUUCUCGAAAUGGCUCGAACCCACUUCAAGAAACAGCCCCAAAGUCCAAUCCCUCAUGAAGAACCUCUCAGUCCUUGAGCGAGCCCUCAUUGGAGCUGGAGGUGGCGGCAUAGCUGGUGCAUUUACUUACGUGUGUCUGCACCCGCUUGAUACCAUCAAAACGAAAUUGCAGACAAAGGGUGCAUCUCAGCUUUAUAGCAGCACACUUGAUGCUGUAGUCAAGACAUUUCAAGAGAAGGGCAUUAUGGGGUUCUAUAGCGGCGUAUCUGUGGUUAUUGUGGGUUCUACAACCUCUUCAGCUGUGUAUUUUGGGACUUGUGAAUUUGGGAAAUCGAUUUUGUCCAAAUUGGAGAAGUUUCCAUCUGUGCUUAUCCCUCCUACUGCCGGUGCCAUGGGAAAUAUCGUGUCAUCAGCGAUUAUGGUACCGAAAGAAUUGAUCACACAGCGAAUGCAAGCUGGUGCUAAGGGAAGAUCAUUUGAGGUAUUGUUGAAAAUAUUGGAGAAAGAUGGUAUUUUGGGUCUGUAUGCUGGGUAUUCUGCAACUUUGUUAAGAAAUUUACCUGCUGGUGUGUUAAGUUAUUCUUCAUUUGAGUAUUUAAAGGCUGCAGUAUUGAGUAGAACUAAAAAGAGCCAUUUGGAGCCUAUUGAAAGUGUGUGCUGUGGAGCAUUGGCUGGGGCAAUCUCUGCAUCUAUAACCACACCGCUUGACGUGGUUAAGACAAGGUUGAUGACACAGGUGAAUAAGGAAGUGGUGGAUAAGGUCGCAGCUGCAAUGUAUAGUGGGGUUUCUGCUACUGUGAACCAGAUUCUGAAGGAGGAAGGAUGGGUUGGAUUUACCAGGGGAAUCGGUCCUAGAGUGGUUCAUAGUGCUUGUUUUUCAGCGUUGGGGUACUUUGCAUUUGAGACAGCUAGGCUUGCUAUUUUGCAUCAGUAUUUGAAGCAUAAAGAGUUGCGUGAAAUGGAUGUUGCUCCUGUUUGAUUGAUGGCUAUGAAUGGAAUGUCAGGUGCUAUUGUUGGCGAAAACUUUUAUCCUUUCUAUUUUUUUUUUCCUUAUAGAUAUAACUGGUAAUUGCUUCUCUAUAUGAUCACAAUUUGGCUAUAUAAACUUCGAGUUAUUCUGUUAAAAAUGGUAUGGAAGAAUGUCUUGUUGCACAAACAUGACAGACUAGAAUUUUUUGCUUCGCUUUCUGUGAUUUUACUCCCAAUAUAUGUUGACAUAUUGUCUUAACUUAUUACAUGCACAUGGUUUGAUAAACUUAUAGAACGUCUAAGCUUUUUAAUCCCAAUUGUUUUUAGUUGACAAGUUUAUAUAUGUUGGCAUUUUGAUAAUACAGUUAAGAUAACAACUACUUAUAUCAGCUACUUCCCUAAUGCAUGAAGCAUCCAACACUUAUGGACUCUAGGGAAGGUAGAUAUACACAACCUUACCCUGCUUUGCAAAGAGACCUACUUCUUAUAUGGUAAUUCUGCAAUUAACUAAGCUUCAUUUGGUCAACCAAUAGCAGAAAGCAAGUUACACUAGCAAAAGGCAAAAUAAGCUAUUCAGGAAAAGAAGUCUAACAUUUUGCUUGAUUAACUGCUUUAGGCUAGUUUUUUGUGUAUUUAAAUUAUUUUGUUGAGCAUGAGCUGCACGAUCUUUUUAUAUAUCAACUGAAUUUGAUUGCAGUGGCAAGUUGUGUUCGUAUUUGACACAGUUCCCUAAAAGUUCAAAGCACAAGAUCAGUUAAUUUGGACAUUAUCUUUUUACCUUUCCUUUCUUUCUUUAUUGCCUUUUUUCUUUGAAUCUUGUUGAUCAAAAUUAUAAAGGAACUCAUCCCAUUAGACAAGUUGUCUGUAUGAUAUCGC
rnacentral:misc_RNA from 1 species